rnacentral:lncRNA from 1 species
UGAGUCUGCCAAUACCUGCAAAUCGUGCUGAGGUUGUGAUGUGGCAGCUGGAACUGAGGCCCACCAACAUCCUCUUCUAUUACAUGGCUACAACCCCAAGAUGGUCUCAUCGGAACAAGACAGUAGCAUUUUAUUUUCAGCAACAGUCUAUUUUCAUUCAACAACCCCGAGCACUGUGGGUUUUGCCACAGGUAUUCCACAGGCUUCUACAGACUGCUCCAAAGCUGACGGGUGCUGUGAUAAUGGUAAUCAUCUGAAUGCAGGCCUUUCUAUACAAUGGCUUGGACAAUCAUGGGAAAUGAAUAAAUGGGAGCUUUACUUGAAUAAAGGUUAAACAGAAUGAGACCGG